rnacentral:tRNA from 1 species
AAGAUUUUAAGUUAUUUAAACUUUAAACCUUCAAAGUUUAAUAUAUAAUCAAUCCUAUUUAUUAUAAAUCUUA